GCUUUACGGAAAAUUCAUCGAAAUUGAUAAAUUGUGUUCUGCUGAUUUACCGUUAGAAACCAAAAUGAAGAUGCUGAAUUUCAUGAAAAGAUACGGUAAAACUCCAUUUGGAAUAAGCGUUGGCGGAUUCUUUUAUGUUAAAAAGAACUUCUUAAUUCGAUGUAUUAGUGCCUUGUAUUCAGCGCUCUCUGUCUUGACUGAACUUCUAAUUGCAAAGAAGCCAUCUUCUUGUAAAAUUAAGAUUGGAGACUUAAUACAAUAACGAAGUUUUGUCUCACAGGCUGACUGGACACUGACGUAAAAGCUUGAAUGUAAGCAGACUUAAUACAGAAAAAUGAAACAUUGCAUUCGAAAAACGACGACCAGUGUAGACUUGAGAACAUCUAAAAUCUCGAAAAGUCAACGUGUAACGAAACGUCAAAAUUUAACGCUUGACUCUCUCGGAGAUUAACACAUUUUUUCCUCAUUUAAUUUAAUUUAAAUGUUAGCUGUCUAAUUUUUUAAAAAUUUAUUAUAUCGCUUUGUUCUGAUUAAAUUUAGAUUCGUCUGCCACAAAUGUAAAACGUUGUCUCAGAAUGAAGCGGAAGAAAUUUCGAAUGACCCGGCAGAACAAUUGAAUAUACCGAAUAUUAAAACUGAAAAACAAACUGAUGUCAAAGAAAGUUUUCAGUUUGUUCUUUAAACUACAAAUUUUCUCUAAUCAUUGUAAUUACGUUAUAAUAGAGGAUAUGAUUUGAAUUGUCAAAUCUACCAAAUUAAAG